GGGGUUGUGGCUCAAUGGUAGAGCUCUUUCUUCGAAAGUAUGAUGCACUGGGUUUGAUCCUCAGCACCACA
rnacentral:tRNA from 1 species